UUAAGCGACUAAGCGUACACGGUGGAUGCCCUGGCAGUCAGAGGCGAUGAAGGACGUGCUAAUCUGCGAAAAGCGUCGGUAAGGUGAUAUGAACCGUUAUAACCGGCGAUGUCCGAAUGGGGAAACCCAGUGCAAUUCGUUGCACUAUCGUUAACUGAAUACAUAGGUUAACGAGGCGAACCGGGGGAACUGAAACAUCUAAGUACCCCGAGGAAAAGAAAUCAACCGAGAUUCCCCCAGUAGCGGCGAGCGAACGGGGAGCAGCCCAGAGUCUGAAUCAGCUUGUGUGUUAGUGGAACGGUCUGGAAAGUCCGACGGUACAGGGUGAUAGUCCCGUACACCAAAAUGCACAGGUUGUGAACUCGAAGAGUAGGGCGGGACACGUGGUAUCCUGUCUGAAUAUGGGGGGACCAUCCUCCAAGGCUAAAUACUCCUGACUGACCGAUAGUGAACCAGUACCGUGAGGGAAAGGCGAAAAGAACCCCGGCGAGGGGAGUGAAAAAGAACCUGAAACCGUGUACGUACAAGCAGUGGGAGCACCUUCGGGUGUGACUGCGUACCUUUUGUAUAAUGGGUCAGCGACUUAUAUUCUGUAGCAAGGUUAACCGUAUAGGGGAGCCGCAGGGAAACCGAGUCUUAACUGGGCGUUAAGUUGCAGGGUAUAGACCCGAAACCCGGUGAUCUAGCCAUGGGCAGGUUGAAGGUUGGGUAACACUAACUGGAGGACCGAACCGACUAAUGUUGAAAAAUUAGCGGAUGACUUGUGGCUGGGGGUGAAAGGCCAAUCAAACCGGGAGAUAGCUGGUUCUCCCCGAAAGCUAUUUAGGUAGCGCCUCGUGAAUUCAUCUUCGGGGGUAGAGCACUGUUUCGGCUAGGGGGUCAUCCCGACUUACCAACCCGAUGCAAACUACGAAUACCGAAGAAUGUUAUCACGGGAGACACACGGCGGGUGCUAACGUCCGUCGUGAAGAGGGAAACAACCCAGACCGCCAGCUAAGGUCCCAAAGUCAUGGUUAAGUGGGAAACGAUGUGGGAAGGCACAGACAGCCAGGAUGUUGGCUUAGAAGCAGCCAUCAUUUAAAGAAAGCGUAAUAGCUCACUGGUCGAGUCGGCCUGCGCGGAAGAUGUAACGGGGCUAAACCAUGCACCGAAGCUGCGGCAGCGACACUAUGUGUUGUUGGGUAGGGGAGCGUUCUGUAAGCCUGCGAAGGUGACCUGUGAGGGUUGCUGGAGGUAUCAGAAGUGCGAAUGCUGACAUAAGUAACGAUAAAGCGGGUGAAAAGCCCGCUCGCCGGAAGACCAAGGGUUCCUGUCCAACGUUAAUCGGGGCAGGGUGAGUCGACCCCUAAGGCGAGGCCGAAAGGCGUAGUCGAUGGGAAACAGGUUAAUAUUCCUGUACUUGGUGUUACUGCGAAGGGGGGACGGAGAAGGCUAUGUUAGCCGGGCGACGGUUGUCCCGGUUUAAGCAUGUAGGCUGAUUGUCCAGGCAAAUCCGGAUAAUCAAGGCUGAGGUGUGAUGACGAGGCACUACGGUGCUGAAGUAACAAAUGCCCUGCUUCCAGGAAAAGCCUCUAAGCAUCAGGUAACAUUAAAUCGUACCCCAAACCGACACAGGUGGUCAGGUAGAGAAUACCAAGGCGCUUGAGAGAACUCGGGUGAAGGAACUAGGCAAAAUGGUGCCGUAACUUCGGGAGAAGGCACGCUGGUGUGUAGGUGAAGCCCCUGCGGGUGGAGCUGAGACCAGUCGAAGAUACCAGCUGGCUGCAACUGUUUAUUAAAAACACAGCACUGUGCAAACACGAAAGUGGACGUAUACGGUGUGACGCCUGCCCGGUGCCGGAAGGUUAAUUGAUGGGGUUAUCCGUAAGGAGAAGCUCUUGAUCGAAGCCCCGGUAAACGGCGGCCGUAACUAUAACGGUCCUAAGGUAGCGAAAUUCCUUGUCGGGUAAGUUCCGACCUGCACGAAUGGCGUAAUGAUGGCCAGGCUGUCUCCACCCGAGACUCAGUGAAAUUGAACUCGCUGUGAAGAUGCAGUGUACCCGCGGCAAGACGGAAAGACCCCGUGAACCUUUACUAUAGCUUGACACUGAACAUUGAGCCUUGAUGUGUAGGAUAGGUGGGAGGCUUUGAAGCGUGGACGCCAGUCUGCGUGGAGCCAACCUUGAAAUACCACCCUUUAAUGUUUGAUGUUCUAACGUUGGCCCCUGACCGGGGUUGCGGACAGUGUCUGGUGGGUAGUUUGACUGGGGCGGUCUCCUCCCAAAGCGUAACGGAGGAGCACGAAGGUUAGCUAAUCCUGGUCGGACAUCAGGAGGUUAGUGCAAUGGCAUAAGCUAGCUUGACUGCGAGCGUGACGGCGCGAGCAGGUGCGAAAGCAGGUCAUAGUGAUCCGGUGGUUCUGAAUGGAAGGGCCAUCGCUCAACGGAUAAAAGGUACUCCGGGGAUAACAGGCUGAUACCGCCCAAGAGUUCAUAUCGACGGCGGUGUUUGGCACCUCGAUGUCGGCUCAUCACAUCCUGGGGCUGAAGUAGGUCCCAAGGGUAUGGCUGUUCGCCAUUUAAAGUGGUACGCGAGCUGGGUUUAGAACGUCGUGAGACAGUUCGGUCCCUAUCUGCCGUGGGCGCUGGAGAAUUGAGGGGGGCUGCUCCUAGUACGAGAGGACCGGAGUGGACGCAUCACUGGUGUUCGGGUUGUCAUGCCAAUGGCACUGCCCGGUAGCUAAAUGCGGAAGAGAUAAGUGCUGAAAGCAUCUAAGCACGAAACUUGCCCCGAGAUGAGUUCUCCCUGAGACUUUAAGUCUCCUGAAGGAACGUUGAAGACGACGACGUUGAUAGGCCGGGUGUGUAAGCGCAGCGAUGCGUUGAGCUAACCGGUACUAAUGAACCGUGAGGCUUAACCUU
rnacentral:rRNA from 1 species